GCGGAUGGCCGGGCGACCGCGGAAGGGCCGGGAAACCGACCCGUUCGAGGAAAGUCCGGACUCCACAAGGCAACGGUGCCGGGUAACGCCCGGCCGGGGUAACCCGAGGGAAAGCGCCACAGAGAACAGACCGCCCUCCAGCGCGGGGGCAAGGGUGAAACGGUGGGGUAAGAGCCCACCGCGGGCGUGGCAACACGCACCGGCAAGGCAAGCCCCACCGGGAGCAAUGCCGAAUAGGGAUCUCACGCAGGCCGCCCCUGCAAGGCCGCCUUGGCCGGGAGAUCCGGGUUGGCAGCUUGAGGUGCCCGGCAACGGGCAUCCCAGAGGAAUGGUCGCCGGCGGGUCCGCCCGUCACAGAAUCCGGCUUACAGGCCAUCCGCGCGC
rnacentral:RNase_P_RNA from 1 species